rnacentral:rRNA from 1 species
ACGAACGCUGGCGGCAUGCCUAACACAUGCAAGUCGAACGAGACCUUCGGGUCUAGUGGCGCACGGGUGCGUAACGCGUGGGAAUCUGCCCUUGGGUGCGGAAUAACAGUUAGAAAUGACUGCUAAUACCGCAUAGUGACUCCGGUCCAAAGAUUUAUCGCCCAGGGAUGAGCCCGCGUCGGAUUAGCUAGUUGGUGAGGUAAAAGCUCACCAAGGCGACGAUCCGUAGCUGGUCUGAGAGGAUGAUCAGCCACACUGGGACUGAGACACGGCCCAGACUCCUACGGGAGGCAGCAGUGGGGAAUAUUGGACAAUGGGCGAAAGCCUGAUCCAGCAAUGCCGCGUGAGUGAUGAAGGCCUUAGGGUUGUAAAGCUCUUUUACCCGGGAUGAUAAUGACAGUACCGGGAGAAUAAGCCCCGGCUAACUCCGU